rnacentral:rRNA from 1 species
UACGUAGGCAGCGAGCGUUGUUCGGAAUUACUGGGCGUAAAGAGUGUGUAGGCGGUUGUUUAAGUUUGGUGUGAAAUCUCCCGGCUCAACUGGGAGGGUGCGCCGAAUACUGAAUGACUAGAGUGUGGGAGAGGUGAGUGGAAUUCCUGGUGUAGCGGUGAAAUGCGUAGAUAUCAGGAGGAACACCGGUGGUGUAGACGGCUCACUGGACCAUAACUGACGCUGAGACACGAAAGCGUGGGUAGCAAACAGG